GACGAACGCUGGCGGCGUGCCUAAUACAUGCAAGUAGGACGCAGUUGCGAACGGGUGAGUAACGCGUAGGUAACUGCCUAUUAGAGGGGGAUAACUAUUGGAAACGAUAGCUAAUACCGCAUACUAGUAGAUGGACCUGCGUUGUAUUAGCUAGUAGGUAGGGUAAUGGCCUACCUAGGCGACGAUACAUAGCCGACCUGGUACGGUGAGCGGGCACACUGGGACUGAGACACGGCCCAGACUCCGACUGGAGGCAGCAGUAGGGAAUCUUCGGCAAUGGGGGGAACCCUGACCGAGCAACGCCGCGGGAGGGAAGAAGGUCUUCGGAGCGUAAAGCUCUGUUGUUAAGGAAGCGGUACUUAACCAGAAAGGGACGGCUAACUACGGGCCAGCAGCCGCGGUAAUUC
rnacentral:rRNA from 1 species